GACGAACGCUGGCGGCGCGCUUAACACAUGCAAGUCGAGCGAGAACCAGUCCUUCGGGGCUGGGGACAGCGGCGAACGGGUGAGUAACACGUGGGUAAUCUGCCCUCGGCACCGGAAUAGCCCGGGGAAACCCGGAUUAAUGCCGGAUGGCCUCUCCGCCCCUCGGGGCGGCGAGAAAAGGUAGCUUCGGCCUCCGGCCGAGGAUGAGCCCGCGGCCGAUUAGCUUGUUGGUGAGGUAACGGCUCACCAAGGCGACGAUCGGUAGCUGGUCUGAGAGGACGAUCAGCCACACCGGGACUGAGACACGGCCCAGACUCCUACGGGAGGCAGCAGUGGGGAAUCUUGCGCAAUGGGCGAAAGCCUGACGCAGCGACGCCGCGUGCGGGAAGAAGGCCUUCGGGUUGUAAACCGCUUUCAGGAGGGACGAAGCCGCUCGGGUUAAUAGCCUAGAGGGUGACGGUACCUCCAGAAGAAGCCCCGGCUAACUACGUGCCAGCCGCCGCGGUAACAC
rnacentral:rRNA from 1 species